rnacentral:rRNA from 1 species
UACGUAGGCAGCAAGCGUUGUUCGGAUGUACUGGGCGUAAAGGGUGUGUAGGCGGUUGCUUAAGUUUGGUGUGAAAUCUCCCGGCUCAACUGGGAGGGUGCGCCGAAUACUGAGUGACUCGAGUGCGGGAGAGGAAAGUGGAAUUCCUGGUGUAGCGGUGAAAUGCGUAGAUAUCAGGAGGAACACCGGUGGUGUAGACGGCUUUCUGGACCGUAACUGACGCUGAAACACGAAAGCGUGGGUAGCAAACAGG